UGGUGGAGUGAUUUGUCUGGUUAAUUCCGUUAACGAACGAGACUCUAGCCUGCUAAAUAGACAGGCGAUCCCGUUGUGGGUCGACCCGAUUGCUUCUUAGAGGGACAAGUGGCGUUCCCAGCCACGCGAAAUUGAGCAAUAACA
rnacentral:rRNA from 1 species